rnacentral:lncRNA from 1 species
GAUGCAGUUAGUCACAUAAUUAGGACAUACAACAGAAACUGAGGCAGUGGAGGCCUGGCACAGUGGCUUACACUUGUGAUCCCAACAUUUUGGGAUCACAGAAAUCAGUGUAGCUAGUCUUUCAGAUUUAUCGUGGCCAGAGGCUGUGCUCACUAGAGUCAAGGGAAGCUGCUUUACAGUCCACACAGAGCUGGAGGUACCAAAAUUCUGGGACAGUGGAGAGAACUGAGCAAAGCAACAGGCCCUGGUCAUAAGCUUGGCAGAGGCCUGCUCAGCUACUCACACUCAUGGCUAGAACCAGCAAGUGACUGCAGUGGUCUCGCCCAGUUUAGGAAGCAUUUAGGGCAGAUUGAUUCUAGCUCCAUACCAUGGCAGCAGCUUGUGGAGACUACUAAUCAUCCAGUGCCUGGCAAAGUGUAUUUCAUUCAUAUAAUGAUCCUAUGAGGCAGAAGGAAAUUAAUCAGAUGUUAAGUCAUGUGUCCAAGGGCAUUCAGCUUAGAAAUGGAACUGGGAUUUGAACCUAGAGUAACCAUAAAAUCCUUCCUUUUCUACACCACCAUGGUACCUCCUAGAUGAAGCUGAAUUUUGCCUCUAAGCUACUAGUCCUCACAAUUUAGUUUACAAGUCAUCUGGGGCAUAAAAACCAGACACCUAGACCUUAUGUAGAGAUUGCUACAGCACAGGAACAGGUGUCUUAGCAAGCAUGACGUACAACUAAGAUGUGGGUUACCAUGGAACCCAAUUUGAAAGUAAUAGUUUUACAUUCUAAGGUAUUCCAACUAUUUUUUUUCCUUAAGUUUCACAUCUUGAUAGACCCUCUACGGAAUCUCUUCUCCUAAAGCUUGUUUUUACAGUGAUCUUGCCAUUCCUGGUACCAUACACAUUAUCAUCUGGUCUGUGGUUCACUUUUUUUUUAAAUCAUUGAACCCUCCUUCACCUGGCUUUUUAAAGCCAAAAGCUUUUCUGGAGCCCCAAGAUCACCCACACUAUGUACUUCCUCAUAUUUAGGCAGUUUACAAAACAUUCACAUUUGUUAUCUCUGACUCUUAAAACAUCCCUGUGUAGAAGGCACA